CGUAACCAUCAAACACAGAGCUAUUAUCACUCUUUCGCUGAAACCUGAAACUAAGAGAGCAUAGAAAUCUCACAGAGCGCAUGGAAAUCUCAUAGAGCUCGACGAUCAUGGAGAUCUCAUAGAGCUCGACGAUCAUCGAUUAGGUACGUAAUCGCAUAGCUCCGAUUAGGUACGAUCUCGGUUUUGUGACUCUUCCUCUCUCUUGGCGUUGUGUUUCUCAGCUCCGGUUAGGUUGUAGCACAGAAGGAAGCUGAAAUCACUAAGCAGGAUUCACUUCUUCUGACGAGGAAUCUGCUCCAAAUUGCUAUAUUCAAUAUUAGUUACAUCAGAGGCCUGUAUAUCAGAGAAAUUUACUUACUUGGACCUGCUACAACUUCUAUCAGUCAACACCAACAAAAUUGGCCGGUGAGAAUUAUUUCUUUCAUUCUGGGUAGGUGAGUUAUCCCUAUUCUUGUGAUAUACAAUGUUUUUGUCUAUGUGUGUAUGUCUUACACUACAUCCAUAAAUACCUGUUUUAGGACAUGACUGUGGGCUUCUACAUAAGUAAAUGAAUGCACUUUGGAUGUUUGUUGUUAGAAUCCCCUUGAUCUCCUAUUAUUUGAUAUUUACUUAUACUAUUAUGAAUGACUUAGUGGUUGGACAAACAAAUCGUUUACUCUAUUGCUUCAAUUGUUGAAUGAUGCACUUUCUAAAGUUAUUGUAGAGUUGCCAGAUUCAUUAUAUGAGGCAAAGAAGAUGAUUCGGGAUUUGGGUCUUGAUUAUGUGAAGAUAGAUGCUUGUAGAAAUAAUUGUAUGUUGUAUUGGAAGGAAAAUUCCAACAAAAGUGAGUGUCAAGUUUGUGGCCUCUCAAGAUGGAAACCAAGUGAAGGGAGUUAUUCAUGAAGAUGUCCCGACUUGUGAAAUUCAUAGCAUAUCAUUUCAACAAUUGUGAAUGAUAUGCUUUAGGCAUUGAAAUCAAAGAAUAUUUGCUGGUAUUGUCAAAUUUCGAGUACUUUAGGCUUUGACACUAAUUGCUAAUUUGGGCAUUGGUUUGGAAGUGUGUUUUUUGUCCAUUGCUUUGGAAGAUGAAUCUCAAGCAGAAGCCUAUGCUGAACAAAAGUGAUUAUAUGAAUCACUAUCUAGAGUUUUUACUUUUUAUGGUAGCCUUAUAUUACAUUUCCUUCUAAAUCAUCAAGGACUAUGACUUUGUCAUGCAGGGUGGUUAGUAUAAGUUGGAUGUGUGAAGUAAAUCUGGAAGUGGUUCUUCUUGCAUUGUGCUCAAAGCAAUUCAGCCAAGCAUAAGUGCCUAUGUCUUGUUUGCAGCUUAAUUUGGUUGCAAACUAAAGUAAAAGACUGGAUAUUCUGAUUAUUUUUAAAUUUCAUCACCAAUGAAACAAGUUCUAACACUUUUCUUUUGUUUUCUAUGAAUCAGGGGUUUUUAAGAAAACCAGCAACUACUACAGAACAUCUGCACCUGAGUUGAAAGAGAAAAGAGCAAAGCCAUUGGAAGAGUGGAUGAACAUAGACAGCAGUUUUAGUGAGCUUGAUGAUAUUAGUUUAGUCCAGGCUAAGCUGCCAAAAAAGCUGAAAAAGAGGAGGCAGAUGCUGUCAGAGAUAUAAUUGUGUUCCAUUACAUUUUGUAAGCUUUCCUUGUUUGCUUUUGCUAACAAGUUUAAAUUGGCAGAUAUGAGGAAUACAUUGACUACAUGUUCCCAGAGGAAACUCAGAUGACUAAUCUUAGAAUAUUGGAAGCUGCACAUAAGUGGAAGAAGCAAAAGAUUUCUGAUAAAGACUAGCAUGGUAACGUGCUUUUGUAGAAUUGAAGCUUUUGGUGUAAAUACAUUAUUGCUUUUUUAAUGUUAAUUGGGUGAAAAUGAAGUAGCCUUGACAGUUAGUAAGGCAAUAAGUUUUGCUAGAGAACUUUGCAUUUCUAAGGUAGAGUUCGAAGGAGAUAGUCAGAGAGUUGUCACAGCUAUCAACAACCAGGCGCCAUCAAAAACCAUGGUUUGGUCAUGUUAUUGAAGAGAUUUGGAUGUUGUAAGAGAUUUUUCAUAAAUAUAGCUUCAAACAUGUAAAAAGAGAGGGCAACCAGCUUGCUCAUUCCCUUGCUAGAACAUUGAUGGGCAUUUUUUUUCUUCUUCUUUCUUUUAUGCUCUUAUGAGAAUGAUUUCUACCGAAUUUGGAAUAUGCUAUGAAAUAAUUGUAUGUUCAUAGCAUAUCAUUUCAA